AGCUCCAACUGGGGCGACUUGUGGAGGGUGGUUCCUGGGACAACGCCCAUGCCGUGAUCAGGAACGGGGUCAGCAGGAGUCAGGUGGGGAAGUGCCAGGUGUCCACUGCCACGACCAACACGUUACUCACACUCACGGCACAAGAAUGGCCUCUGUACCCUGUGUGUAGGCAUAUCCAGGCACAGUCGCUUGUAUGUCUGAGACCUCAAGCUGGAGAGUGCUGAUGGCCAACAUGCUGGUCACCUCUCCACAGUCCUUCCUCCUCCUGGACAACACCCCUGCUCUCUCUGGAUGGUCCUGAGCUAAGCCCGGAAGAGUCAAGGCUAUAAAGAGGGACUGAGAACACCGUGACGCCCUGGCCUGCGCACCCUCCUCUGCUCCAUCUGGGUCUGUCCGGAUGGCAGAGGCUCAGAGGGUCUGCCCCUACCAGAUGGUGGAGGCUCAGAAUGUCUGAGCCAGAAAAAGCAUGAAAGAAAACUUAGCCUUCCUCCUCCCAGUUAACAGGUGAGUCAGAUCCCAGUGCCCUGUAGGGACUGCAGAGGCAGCUCCCUUCUCUUGCCCUUGACUCCAUGCCCUUCUUCUUCUUCCUGCCUAGCUGCACACAUGGCACCAUGCAAUUCCCCUCCUCCUCCUCCUCCUCCUCCUCACUUCUGCUCAUGUGGGGAAACCUGUGCCUUAUGUAUCCUGCACCCCAGGGUUCUUGGACCCUGGACCCCAGCCUGUGGGCAGCAGGCCCUCCAAGCUCCACCCACUGCUCAGCACCACGUCCAUUACCCCCUGUCCAAGCCACUGUCCUCUCUUGUCCUGGUGAUUAAGACAGGCUCCUGUGGAGUUUCCAUGCUGCGCCUGCCCCCAUGAUCCAUUCUCCUUUCAGCCACCAGAGUAAGCAUGAUAAAGUGCAAUUAAGAUGAUGCCACUCUCUCAUCUACAAUCUUCAAUGACUUCUCAUUGCUCUUGGAAUCAAAUCCAAACCCCACUGUGGCUUGCAUGACCCCCUGUGAUCUGGUCCCUGCCCUCACGACACAUCUCUCCCUGUUCACUUUGUACUAAGCACAUUCCCACCUCAGGGCCUUUGCAUUUGCUGGGCCUGCAGCCUGAAUUGCUUUCUUCCCAGACCUUCUUGUAUCUGACCCCUUUUCAUCCUUCUGGUAUUAGCUCACCUGUCACCCCCACGUGAAGGCUGUAUCAAUCAGCAUUUUCCAGAGAAACAGAAUCCAUAUGGAGAGAGGGGGGGUGGGGAGAGAGAGAGAGAGAGAGAGAGAGAGAGAAACUUAAGGGAUUCGCUCAUAGGAUUGCGGGGGCUGGCAAGUGUGAAAUCUGCAAGCAGACAGGCAGGCUGGAAAUUCCAGCAAGAGUUAAUGUUGCAGUCUGGAGUCGGAAGGGUGGAAACUCAGGCAGAAUUUCUACGUUACAGUCUGGAGUCAGAAUUCCUUCCUCUUUGAGGGACCACACUCUCUUAAGGCAGCAGUCCCCAGCACUUUUGGCACCAGGGACAAGUUUUGUGGAUGACAAUUUUUCCACGGACUGUGGGGGGUUGGGUGGAUGGUUUCAGGGUGAAACUGUUCCACCUCAGAUCAUCAGGUGUUAGAGUCUCAUAAGGAGCACGCAACCUAGGUCCCUUGCAUGCGCAGUUCACAAUAGGGUUCAUGCUCCUUCGAGAAUCUAACGCUGCUGCUGAUCUGACAGGAGGUGGAGAUCAGGUGGUAAUGUUUGCUCACCCACAACUCACCCCCUGCUGUGCGGCCUGGUUCCUAUCAGGCCACAGACCAGUAUCCCGGUCCACGGGCCUGGGGGUUGGGAACCUGUGUCUUAAGGCCUUCAACUGAUUGCAUGACACCCACCCCCACUGUGGAGGGCACUCCACGCGACUCAGAGGCUACUGAUUUAAAUGUCAAUCACAUCUAAAAAUUAACUUCCCGGCAACAUCUAGAUGGAUUGUGAUCAAACAACUGGGCAGCUUCACCUGGCCGAUGGGACACCUACAGUUAAGCAUCACGGACACCCUCACCCCCCCGCCCCCACAAUCUAACGGGGAUCCCUGUGGCAGAUGCUGUUAGUUCCUUCCCAUAAAGCCCGGAACUUGCAGCGCGCUGUGCAGAUUUCCACCUUCAUCUCUGUGCCUGAGGCUAUUUCUCCAGAGUCCCGGAAGGCUGUUCUGGUGGGCUAGAAAUGCCAAAGACGCAUUACCCUGUGGGAGCGGCCCUCAACCAGUGACUCUUGGUAGCUGGUGGGAAAAUAUCCCAGGCCCCUCGCCCCGCAGCGGGAUGACUCUGAGCUGUGUGCUCUACACUAACUUGCCCCAGGAGGAUUGAGCCCCGGCUGCACGCUGCAUUGCUUGCUCGGUAACACCCUGUGCUGGCUGCUUUCCCUCUCCUGUCUCAUUUCCCCACCCCUUACCAGUACUGCCUGGAUCCCCUUCCAGACAAACGACUUGCCCUUGGCUCCAUGCUCAAAGUCGUCGUCUAGGGAGCUCAAGCUUGGAUGCUCCUUCGUUUUCGCUAAUCACUCUCUGUAUGUCCCCUGGUCUUCUUACAAUGGUAGCCCUUGUCAAAGCUCUAAUCAUCUUGUUUUUAUGUCUGCUUUCUUUCUGCUCACUGGAAGGCUGGGUCCUGAGGGCACAGUGUCCAGCACGGAGGACACACAGUAAAUAUUCCCAGAAGGAGUGAUGGGUGAACGAAUAAAUAGAAUCUCACCCUGCCACCAUGAUUAAAUUCAGCCCCAAACUUACCUGUCCCAUUGUUUCCAUAUCCUGCCACCUCUGAGGCCUAAUCUGAAGAACUGAUUUGUGCCAGUGGACGAGCACUAUUUCUCUAGGUGAGACAUGCAGGUGUCAACAGGAAAUGUCCUGAGAUGUAAUUCUUCAACCCAGGAAGCCACUCCAAUCAAGAGAACAUAAAGCAAUGGUGAUGGGAUGUGGGGGUUCCAUGGGGCUUGGAUGCCCUGAGGAGGGCCUCAAAUCACAGAAUGAUGAAGGUCUUCUGGAUGCAGUGGCAGGGCAGGAGAGGUAUUGCCCUGGGACUCGAGAUGGGACCACAGCCAAUUGCUCACUCAGCCAUGGCCUGUGGGUCUGACACUGGGACCUCACUAACCCUCUUUUAACACUCCUAUCUGUAAGUAGGGAUCAUGACCCACACUUUGCAGGGGUUCUGAUGCUGCAAAAUUCUGGCGCUUUCUACAUGAUAAGGUCUUUGCUCACCAAAUGGAAGAGACUGCGUGCAGGUAGCAUGGGCCUGCCUACUGCAGGUGGGGUGCUUUGGGCUGCAAGUAACAGAAAAUCCAACUCAAAGUGAAUUGUGUGAUAAAGACAAUGCACCACCUCGCUUAUCAUGGUCUGAGUUCCUCCAUGAGGGUUGCCGCCUGGUGCGUCCUCUGUAAGCUCCCUGAAGCAGGGGCCUAGGCUGACCUUUUUUCUCCACUGCCCCCGAGAGCAUAGACCAGGGCCUGGCACAGAGAAGGCGUCCAGUGAGGAUUCCACCCAGGACACCAUCAAACCCUCAUCGCUACAUGGUCUAUUAAGUUGUGUUCCCCCAACAGCAGUUAAAGAAACCAAAGCUUGGCCAGGCACGGUGGCUCACGCCUGUAAUCCCAGCACUUUGGGAGGCCGAGGUGGGUGGGUCACUUGAGGUCAGGAGUUCGAGACCAGCCUGACCAAUAUGGUGAAAUCCCAUCUCUACUAAAAAUAAGAAUACAAAAAUUAGCUGGGCGUGGUGGCAUGUGCCUGUAGUCUCAGCUACUCAGGAGGCUGAGACAGGAGAAUUGCUUGAACCUGGGAGGCGGAGGUUGCAGUGAGCCAAGAUUGCGCCAUUGCACUCCAACCUGGGCAAUGAGAGUGAAACUCCGUCUAAAAAAAAAAAAAAGAAGAAGAAGAAAGAAACUAGAAACUAAAGCUAAGGGAAGAUAAAUUACCUGCAUGACAUAUUGAAGCACACAGAGGACAGUCCUGGCAUUCCCUACUCUGGGCUCUGGCCAUAACCCUGACAACCCUGCUACUCUACUGUCCUCCCUGGCCUCUCUCAGGCCAGUUUGUCCUCAGAUCGGGCAGUGUGGGAGUUGACAAACCAGUCAACCCAGACUCAGAUGACGCAGAAGUCUGCCCAACACAGAAGUCCACCAACCAUUGCAUUGUGAUCAUUGCACCGAGGACAUAAAUUCAGCAACAUGUGCUGGGUCAGCUGCCUCGUUUUUCUCCAAAGUAGCAAAUUUAUGGGGCACACGUGCACAUGGGUGAUUAUUUCCCAAUAGUUUAUAGUAUCAAGCCUCCUUUCUUUCCUCCCAAUAAAUCUAAUUUAUAUGGAUUGGCAGAUCAAACAGUGCAUUUCCUGGCAUCGAGAGGCUGUGAGUCACUCACAGUGCUUUAGGAAACUUGGGGAGAUUAAGGUUUUGCAUAAUGCAAAUGCGGAUGGAAACAUAUUUGGACUGCCUCGCUGUGGAUGCAAUUAGAGCAAUGAGCACCAGGAGAAAUACUUUUUCCCAGGACACAGCAAGGUCUGCUUGGUAUGCAAAGAGCACAGUUAUUUGCGACACCAGAGCCUGGAACGUGGUGAGCAAAGCACCCAGUGACGGUUUGAUUUGCAGCUUUAAGGAAUUCAAAGAUGAAUAAAACAUUAAAUUAAUUGCCAAA